UACGGAGGAGGCAAGCGUUAUCCGGAAUUAUUGGGCGUAAAGCGUCCGCAGGUGGCACUUCAAGUCUGUCGUCAAAGACUGGGGCUUAACCCUGGAAAGGCGGUGGAAACUGCACAGCUAGAGUAUGGUAGGGGCAGAGGGAAUUCCUGGUGUAGCGGUGAAAUGCGUAGAGAUCAGGAAGAACACCCGUGGCUAAGGCGGUUCUCUAGUACGGUACUGACGCUGAGACGCGAAAGCGUGGGGAGCGAACAGG
rnacentral:rRNA from 1 species